CAUGUGAGAAACAAAUAACAUUGACAUUGAGAGGAAGACAGAUGCUUUGUGAUAUGCCUCACUGUAUUUCAGAGCAAUUUGAAAAGAAGCUUUACAUCCAAAAAGACCUUUUACAUCAAAUCUCUGUGUGGAAAGCAGAAUGCGGUGAUGUAUUCCUCACCCCUACUUUUUCCCAUGCCAGAGACAUACACUGGACAAACAAGGUCUCAUGCUUGGCUCUGCUCCUCUGUUCUUAAUUUGGAAUGGGAGAAGUCCAUGUGUCAAAAGGAAUCCUUUCUUUUAUAGGUUUCCAGCCCAAAAUGCAUUACAAGGCUGGCUGCCCAGCCACAAACCACUAGCAAAUGCACCAACAUCUCCUGCUGCCAAGCCCCACAGAAGACCCAAAUGUGCAAGUACCUCUGCAGGCAGCAGCAUCCCUGGAGGAGGUGUGAGGGGGUCACCUUUGCCUGGCAGUAUGACCUGGCUUAGAGCACUAGCUCUGAUCUAGCAGUGGUCAGCACUGGAGAGGGCAAUGACUACAUUUACCUGGAAGGGCAGACCUCCUUUCCAACUGCUGAUGCCAAGCUAAUUGGCGCUGGUCACAAAGAUGGGUCAAGUAUGUGGUGGGAUGAUGGAAGAAGUCACAGUGGUCUCCUUAUGGCUCCAUGUCUCCAGGGCUGGCUCAGUAGGCUAUAAAGCAAACACCACACUGCAAAAGUACAAGCUGGUGAUCCUUCUGCCAGGUAGAAACUUUAUGUGAAAGGACAUAAUCUCACCUGCAGAGUGCAGCUAUCUUCAUGCCCUCUGACAGCUUCCUAAACUCAUUCAAGGAAUCAAGUAUUGAAAAAGUAUUGCCUUCUAGUCCAGCUUUGUUGGGUGUAGACCUGAGGGAGGAUAUUUACAGUUUUUUUGUUUUUUUUUUUCCAAUUUUUAAAACCCUCAAGGCCCUUCAGAUGGGAUCUUCAAAGGUUCUGAAAAGAAAUGAGGUGUUGACUUUCCACCUUAAGCUCCCACUUUGAAAACUCCCACUUGGAUUCAUUUAAAUGCUGUAAAAACACGUGAACCAAUUCACUAGAAAGGUGUCUUUUAGUUGGAAGGGUGGCGUGGGCAGGUGGACUUGGAGGUCAAUUUGAAAUUUAGGAGAAGGAAGAACAGUCAAAAGGAAGUAAACUUGCUGCUGCAUUUAGAGGAACUGUGCUGUUAGGAAAUAAGUAAAGCAUUUUCAGGUGAUACCUAGCCAUGCCAUACCUUUCCUGUGGCUUUGAGUGUUCCUAGCAAAGCCUCUGUCCUUGCUGUCCAGAAUGAAUCUAAAGCUAAGCUGAUCAGAAGGCAUAAUUCCACUUAUCUUGUUUGGAUCCUUUUUUUCCCCAGCUGCAAUGUAUUCAUUUGCUUUUUAUAGCUUUGGCCUUCUAAACAGUAUUUUCCCAGUAGGAACUGAAGGGAGCUCUAGGUACCUGCAUGCCCACUCUUUUAGAGUGGAGUGCAGUUCAGCAUGACACAGACAAGCCAGCUCUGAAGCAGGAAGAAUGAAGAACUUGUAGCUUCCUGGGCUUGGAGUUGGGCAAUGGGAGAUCCUGGUAGUGCAGUUCACUUGCAGCUGCAGAAAUGAUAUCCAAGAAGGUACUUGAAGAAGCAGAGCACGGAGACAACAAAGACACUCUGCCUUUUGUUGACGACAAAGAAGUGGCUCCUUCCUUCUCUUGGAAGGAGUUCCUUUUGCAGGCAGCGCGUGCGUGUGGUGGCUGAUGGAGCGGCGGCAGGCUGGGCACCAGAGCUGCGCUGGCCCAGCUUGGCAAGCAGAAGAUGACCUCAGUGACCAGAGUUCAAAACAAAGAACAAGACUGAAGAAAGUCUCACCCUGAGUGACUGGCUGCUGUCCAUACAUAUUCUUUAAAAACAAAGGUGCUUUCAAUGCACAGGGACAGAGGAUAAAAGAAUAAACAUGAUGGUGCCUUGCAUUUCAAAAGAAUCUCUUUGCAAAUGCUUCUGAUCUACCGAGGGCUAAUAUUCUCCAGUUCUGCCUUCCUUUCCAGGAGGAAUGCAGUGACACUGAGUUUGAAAUCUAAUUGGUGAAUGGGACUUCAGGAGCAAGGGGGAAGUCUUCUCUUUUUGCCCAAGCAGAGAUGAAGGUCCCCUGGCUGGAGCCCAAGACAGGGCUGUCUGUCUGCCUGUGCCACCACACGAUGCCAGACAUCAGACUCUCUCUCAGACUGCUGAAAACAUCUCAGCCUGGUGACUUCCUCUCUCAGCCUUGUUGGCUGUUUGAAAAGGUCGUCAAGUUGAGCACAGCAGCACCCAUGACACUUUUCACCUUCCUCAGUACCGUGGGUGACCUCUGGAUUCCUGAGCUCACCAUAGCCAAAAACCUGUACAGCUCUCUCCUUGGGAGGUCUGUCUGGGUCAUCAGCCCAGAAAGAUAGUUGCCAGGGCACAUGGAUGAUGAGACUGCUGUAUACCCAUCCAAUGGGCCUCUAGGAUUGCCUGCAGUGUCGAUGGCUCCUGAACCCCACCUAAGAGAAGAACUCCCUGCCUUCACUGGUCUCACACGCAAUAUUGAUCAACAAACAUGUGAGCAUCCAUGGCAAGCACUGCUAGAGCACUGACAAGUGUGCAUCUCCCAGCCAGUACAGCCUUCAUCGUGGUACACAACCGGACUUACCCAAGACAAGGACAGCUACCAACAGCUGACUUUUAUCAUACAGGACUGCUUCAGGACUGGACUCCAUUGCUGUGAAUGGCAAUGAUUCACUGUCCCAGAAAGCCUUUUGAAGCUUGUUGGCUCGUUCACCAGUGUUACAGUCCCUAACAUGAGCAUAUGUUGUGAAGCCGCAGAGGAAGGGUCAAUGUUAGUGGAUGAGCUGACCCUGCUUGUCCUGUGCUCAGCCUCUGAUCUGAUGGAACACUCUCUAGCUUAGGUGUGGCAACCAUAUCUCUGUUAGUGUGGUAUUGAGCUAGAGAUGGUUCAAGCUGAGUGCUAUUCCUGUGAUCUCACCCACAAGACCUUCCUUCCUUUCUGGUAAAAACUGAGCUCUGUGUGUACUGAAAAAAGUAGUCCAGAUCCAACUCAGCUAUUCUGGGGGAACAGGAGGAUUCAAGACUGCUCUCCAUCAAAGGUCUGGCAAAAGAAAAGCAGAAAAACAGCCAAAAGCAGUGACGUACACAAACCCCAAAUCUCCUGGGUUCACUGGAGUUUUUAAGAACGUAGAAGUAUCUCCUAAGGCAGAUGGAAAUAUUCCUUCUUCUACCCACUGUCCUGGUGGGAUCUGAUGCCCCACGUGGGAUCUGUACAAGUUUCUUUAUCAUCACAAUCUGUCUCCAUCCCUCAGUUCCCUCAUGCCGUUCAGAGAAGUUUGUCCAUACAGAAUAUUUGUCAAUACUCCAAAUAAACGGCAUCAUGCUUCCUUGUUUCUCUGUCUGUAUCUCCCUGUUCCUGACAUAAGUGAAAAUCCUACUGGGCAGGACAGUUCUUUCUUACUGUAUUUGUACAACAGGUAGCCUGUUGGCUUUGUGGUCUGUUAUUGGGAACACUGCCAGCAGUGCUGACUUUUUGGUGAAGAUGAAUAAUAGAAUUUUCUAGCAUGCCAUUGUUUUUCCAAUAAAUUUCUCACAUGUUGCAUUAAAUAUGUACACAA
ensembl:lncRNA